GCUGGAAUCGCUAGUAAUCGCGGAUCAGAAUGCCGCGGUGAAUACGUUCCCGGGCCUUGUACACACCGCCCGUCACACCAUGAGAGUUGGGGAUACCCGAAGCCUGUGAGCUAACUUAACGGAGGCAGCAGUCGAAGGUAGAAUCAAUGAUUGGGGUGAAGUCGUAACAAGGUACC
rnacentral:rRNA from 1 species